rnacentral:rRNA from 1 species
GACGAACGCUGGCGGCGUGCCUAAUACAUGCAAGUAGAACGCUGAAGAGAGGGGCUUGCUCUUCUUGGAUGAGUUGCGAACGGGUGAGUAACGCGUAGGUAACCUGCCUUGUAGCGGGGGAUAACUAUUGGAAACGAUAGCUAAUACCGCAUAACAAUGGAUGACACAUGUCAUUUAUUUGAAAGGGGCAAUUGCUCCACUACAAGAUGGACCUGCGUUGUAUUAGCUAGUAGGUGAGGUAAUGGCUCACCUAGGCGACGAUACAUAGCCGACCUGAGAGGGGGAUCGGCCACACUGGGACUGAGACACGGCCCAGACUCCUACGGGAGGCAGCAGUAGGGAAUCUUCGGCAAUAGGGGCAACCCUGACCGAGCAACGCCGCGUGAGUGAAGAAGGUUUUCGGAUCGUAAAGCUCUGUUGUAAGUCAAGAACGGGUGUGAGAGUGGAAAGUUCACACUGUGACGGUAGCUUACCAGAAAGGGACGGCUAACUACGUG